AGUGAACGCUGGCGGUAGGCCUAACACAUGCAAGUCGAACGGCAGCACAGUAAGAGCUUGCUCUUACGGGUGGCGAGUGGCGGACGGGUGAGGAAUACAUCGGAAUCUACUUUUUCGUGGGGGAUAACGUAGGGUAACUUACGCUAAUACCGCAUACGACCUCCGGGUGAAAGCAGGGGAUCUUCGGACCUUGCGCGAUUGAAUGAGCCGAUGUCGGAUUAGCUAGUUGGCGGGGUAAAGGCCCACCAAGGCGACGAUCCGUAGCUGGUCUGAGAGGAUGAUCAGCCACACUGGAACUGAGACACGGUCCAGACUCCUACGGGAGGCAGCAGUGGGGAAUAUUGGACAAUGGGCGCAAGCCUGAUCCAGCCAUACCGCGUGGGUGAAGAAGGCCUUCGGGUUGUAAAGCCCUUUUGUUGGGAAAGAAAAGCAGCAGGUUAAUACCCCGCUGUUCUGACGGUACCCAAAGAAUAAGCACCGGCUAACUUCGUG
rnacentral:rRNA from 1 species